rnacentral:lncRNA from 1 species
UCGGCUUGAAAUAAAGCGAGAUCUCAAAAAUGUUUUUUUACAACCCGAAAAAAUCUUGAUUUUGUUCUUUUGCCGUAAAAAGUUAGAGCAUUCACUUACGGUGUGGAAGAAAUAAGUUGGGGAGAACGAAAAGAAUUGGUAAGUACCACAGCUUUUGAAAAUGAAAAGAAAAACCGAGCAAGCAUAGAAAAAUAUAUGUAUAGAAAAUGUAGAAAAUAACAUCUGUUUGUAUAUUUGAUGUGAAAGAAAAAGAACAAAAAUAGAAAGAAUUGAAAAAAAAAAAAAAAAAAAAAAAAUGAAUGAAUGCUUGCUUGGAAGAAAAAAAAAAAAUUGUAGUUGAGAAAUAAGAAUUGAGUUGUGGAAUAUGUGUUGUGAAGGUUACAAAUAAGAAACAAAGGAAACAAGUCGAGUAGUGUGAAUAUUACUGUGAAUGUCUCUUU